CGAUAUAUCUGAAAAUUUAAGGGCAAAUAGAUGUUGACCUGAUGAACAAUUUUACUCAUGUUAUAUUUGCUCUAAAUGCUUUGGUUUUUGAGUUAUAAGCCAAAAACUGCAUUUUACCCCUAUGUUCUAUUUUUAGCCAUGGCAGCCAUCUUGGUUGGUUGAUCGGGUCACCGGACACAUUUUUUAAACUAGAUACCCCAAUGAUGAUUGUGGCCAAGUUUGGAUUAAUUUGGCCCAGUAGUUUCAGAGGAGAAGAUUUUUGUAAAAGAUUACUAAGAUUUACGAAAAAUGGUUAAAAUUGACUAUAAAGGGCAAUAACUCCUAAAGGGGUCAACUGACCAUUUUGGUCAUGUUGACUUAUUUGUAAAUCUUACUUUGCUGAACAUUAUUGCUGUUUACAGUUUAUCUCUAUCUAUAAUAAUAUUCAAGAUAAU
rnacentral:lncRNA from 1 species